rnacentral:rRNA from 1 species
ACGGGAGGCAGCAGUGGGGAAUAUUGGACAAUGGGGGAAACCCUGAUCCAGCGACGCCGCGUGAGUGAAGAAGUAUUUCGGUAUGUAAAGCUCUAUCAGCAGGAAAGAAAAUGACGGUACCUGACUAAGAAGCCCCGGCUAACUACGUGCCAGCAGCCGCGGUAAUACGUAGGGGGCAAGCGUUAUCCGGAUUUACUGGGUGUAAAGGGAGCGUAGACGGUUUUGCAAGUCAGAAGUGAAAGCCCGGGGCCCAACCCCGGAACUGCUUUUGAAACUGUAGAACUGGAGUGCAGGAGAGGUAAGUGGAAUUCCUAGUGUAGCGGUGAAAUGCGUAGAUAUUAGGAGGAACACCAGUGGCGAAGGCGGCUUACUGGACGGUAACUGACGUUGAGGCUCGAAAGCGUGGGGAGCAAACAGGAUUAGAUACCCUGGUA